ACGCCGGGAAUAGGCUGACCUGAAGGAACCACCAAAUUAACCUGUCGAAUACGUACUGGUGCAAGACUAUAAUUGGAGUUUUCAGAUUGCAACUUCUAAUUCACACGUAUGAAUUUCUCAUCCUGGUUUAAAAAGACAUUUUGUUUCUUGGCCAAAAAAUACCCGGCCAGGUUUAACUCGACGAGGUGAACGCACUUUGAGGAGCUUACAUCAUUAAGUGAAACAUUGAUUAAGUUAAACAGUUCAGAAGAUUUACAGAUCUUGAUAAAAAAAAAGUGUAUCCUGCAAACCUGCCAGAACUUUCCGCUUUCUUAACCUUUCAGUGGUUGUAAUUAGAGUGGAGUUAACGGAAAAGAAAAAUUUUCAGAAGCACUGAUUGCAGUAGAAUGGCAUGGUGCCCGGACUUCCUGAUCAGAACUCUAUAUCAAUUGAACAUUAAUAUUAGACAACUUCCUUAAGCACUUUUAUAUAAUGGCCAGUUAUGUGUGGCUACACAAGUCGAUGAAUUUACAUUUAGUAAAUUAAGUAUGUUAUAAAUACAUACUUUAUUAAAAAGAUACAGUAGAACUAUUAAAAAAAAAAGAAAAUUGCAGUAUGAAGACUUAUGAUUUCAAUCUAAUACUUCGGGGAAGGGUUUUAAAAAUUUCGAAAUAUUGUAGAACUUGACUCGCAACAAUCAUUUCCCGCGUAUAUUGCCCUCCACUUUUGGCCCCGAAUGAAGCUGCAUAUUAUUAAAUAACAUUAAAAUUAUUCUUCCAUUUAUCGUUUCUCAAAUUUUCAUUCUGCUGCUUUAAUCGUUUGUGAACCAACCACCUUCGCAGUGCAGCAUUUGCGGACAACUCUUGCACAAGAAUGCCUUUAAACACCUGCGUGUAUGGGCCUGAGGUACUUCUCCAAGCUAUUGCUUGAGCACAUGAUCUUCAGCGUCUGCGUUAUCAGUGUCAUUUCCAAACGUUAUUUCGUUUAAAGUUACAACAAAUUUAUUUCCAUUAAAUGUUAAUUAGUUUAUUCAUGUUGACUUUCGGGAGUUUUAAAGGUAAUUUUUCGUUGGGUAUUGAAGUAACAUGGGGGAAGAAGAUAAAAAUUGACUAAAGAUAGUGCCGAAUUUCAGUGAGACUUAAUAAGCUUUAGGGGAAAAAAGCGUUUUUGAGUGCACAGAAUAGAGGCAACGGGGAACAUGAAAACAUGGUCAGUCUUCAAAAGUCACAUUUUUUAUUUGAGGCAAAAUUUGACCUAAGAACAAUAGACAAUAUAUAACCUUUUUUUUUUAAAUAGCUUGUCAUUAUAGUUUAUUCAAACUAGAAAUAAUAAAUAUUAUUUAUUUACAA